CUCGCCACCAGAGGAUAGGAGGGUAGCCCAGUGAUGCGGCGGGAGACUUUAGGUAGCUCCUGCCUCGCUGGCCUCCAGCCUAUGUGUGCCCACCCUCCACGCGUCCCCAGCACCGCAGGGAAGCCAUCCGACGCGUUAACCUUUCCCUGGCUAUUCCAAGCAAGGCAAAGGGCCAAGCGUCUAGGACUCUGGUCUUCUCUGCACCUGUGCCUAUCUCACCUGGGUCGCGCUUGGUCUCCAUAUCCUCAUCCUGGCCCCCACCCGCGUCCCCUAGCUCCGCUGGAGUAGGGAGGAAACUUUCUUAAUUCCAGAAUUUCCUUGGGCCACUUGAGAGGCAAGGCAACAUGAAGACAACCAGAGGCCACCUCGGGGGCGGGGCACAAAUGAAAUUCACGGGUAGAGGAAAAGACAGAGGACACACUCCUAAGGGAAGAGGCAAUAGGAGCAGAACGGAGGAGGGGAAAGAGCAGAGCGUGAAAAGUCAAGGUUUCGGGGCCUUUUUUGGUAGGAGGCCUGUGAUAAGGUUCUUGACUGAACAACCUGGCCUUCUAGAGAAAACCUUCCCACUGAGACAACUCUCCUGCGGGAGGGUUUCAGAGCAGCGGCCUGCAGAAAGGAAGAGAUGUCAUCCUUGAAUGGAUCUAAUCAGAGAGGGUGCUGGCCUCAGAGGGGGGGGGCGGGGGCGCGCUCGGCUUUUCCUCAUACCUCUGAGAGACCCUACUUCCUGGGUUCACUGUCCACUGUCUGGUUGCUCAUGCCUGAUGACUCAACAUAUGCCAAAUAAAGGAUACCCAAGUGGGCAGGAUUACUGGG
ensembl:processed_transcript Gm14207 predicted gene 14207